UACGUAGGUGGCAAGCGUUGUCCGGAAUUAUUGGGCGUAAAGAGCUCGUAGGCGGUCUGUUGCGUCCGCUGUGAAAACUCGGGGCUUAACCCCGAGCCUGCAGUGGAUACGGGCAGACUAGAGGUAGGUAGGGGAGAAUGGAAUUCCCGGUGUAGCGGUGAAAUGUGCAGAUAUCGGGAGGAACACCGGUGGCGAAGGCGGUUCUCUGGGCCUUACCUGACGCUGAGGAGCGAAAGCGUGGGGAGCGAACAGG
rnacentral:rRNA from 1 species